UCUAGCAAUACAAGAGUCCACCAUCCUAACUAGAAGGACCCUUCUUCCCCCACAACACUGUCCACAGAAGCAAACAAACUCUGAAAGAAGCAAGAAGCGUUCGAUGAUUUCUUGGUUGCCAUGUUCAAAGACAAGUAGUUUUGCUCUUCUGUAGGUAAGCCUAUUUCUAAUUCUCUGCUUUUAUUCAGUUUCUUUAAUAUUUACAGCAAAAAGAGCAGAUUCUUGUCCUUUCUAACAAUGUGAGGGAAGGAAAGAAAAUGCAGCAAUACGGUCACAGGGGUUUCCUGAUUACCAUUCCAACCAUCCUUGGAAGCAUUUUCUAUUCAUUUUCCCUCGUUUCCAAGAACCGCAGAGCAAGAAGAAGAAUUUCAUUUUCAAGCUUGUCUCUGCAUGCAUCUGCAUUGUUGCACUUUCUGCUGCAGAAUUCUUAUACUUGCUUUAGUAGCAUAAAUAUAAAUGAGGUGAAUGCAUGAACUGCCAGCAAUAUUUAAAAUGAAGUUAUGCACACCAAAACCAGAACACAUUUUUCAUUCCAAUCACAUGAAGUUCUAUUACAUUAGAAAUCUGAAAAGGAAAAGGGGGAAAACUUAUUCUAUAGUCUAUACCCUAUGCACACUCAAAAACAAUAAAAAGGAAUCCAAUCAGCUGGUUAAUCUCCUUUAACCUCUUGUUUUUUGUCCUCUGCUUCUUUAAUUAUAUAUAGGCGAGAUGCCAUGGUAUAAUUACAUUCUGACUACUAAAUUAUAUAAUAGGUUCUGUACAGAUGAUGAAUCGAAGGCCAAAAACUGGAUCGGAAGGUGGAACACCCGAAACCAAAUCAAGACAAACAAAAGAAUGACACACAUUAACAAGCACACAGGUUUAUAUGUGAGAAUUAGGGUCGUACUCUUCUAGUAAGGAAAAAGAAAAAUGACUCAGAUCAUGUCAUUAGAUGUAUCUGAGAUGCUAGAAUGCACCGUUGCAUUCUAGCCAAGGAGUCUUGGAAUGCAGAUCUUCUAUGCCUCCUAAUAAAACUUCAGGCCAUGAUGGCUGCAAUCCUAGGAAACUUACCUUAAAACAGGGAAGAAAACUUAACAAAGAAAGGGCUAGACCAUUUUCUGUAUGUGAGAUGGCUCAGAGAGCUUUGUUAUAGACUUUGGAGGAGGGCUCUUCUGCAAAGGGGAGGUUGAGAAGGGUUGAUGCUUGGAUUGGGGCAUGGAGACUCCACUCCAAGUGUCUUUAGUAGGAAGUUCCUUUCCUGAAAAAAGGCCAAAGAAAAUAAAAGGAGAGAAGUGUCAGAAAUAUUCAAUGUGAUGUCCAUCUAUAUUGUGUAUAUAUGAAGCAAACACAAACACUAAUGCUAGAAACUUGUGAAAGAUAUUCAUAAUUGGAGUUGGACUUUAGUUCCAUAUGACCUGUAAUUCUAUAUUCUUAAAUCAGAACUUUUUCAUCAAUAAAAAAUGUCAGACAAGACAGAAUGGCAGAAAGUCUAGAUACUUUGUUAUUAAUUGAGACGGAAUAUUCUUUUUCUUUAUUUUUCAACAAAUUUUAAUUCAAUCUAGAUUCACUAGCAGGAGGAACUAAAAGUAUGCAGUCAAGUGAUCUUUAGAAUCCAUCAUUAGCAAUUUAAUAGGCAACAUGCAGAACCAUACUUGAUUUCAUUUAAGCUUCCUAGAAGGGAUAAAUAAAGCUGUACAGAAACGCUAUUUGGUGAACAGUUGCUUUACCUGCCAGUUAAGAUGUAUAAGAACCAAUCCCUAAGGUGAUGUUAACAUCAUUUGUUAUAUCAAGAUUUGAAUUGAGAAUCAAAAUCAUCAUUUUGUGAAUCGAGAAUUGAGAACCAAAUAAAAUCAUUUAAAUAAUGAGAAGGAUGCUUCUUCAUAAUAGACAAAUAUAUUCUUACUACAUUAUGUGGUUCUAUGUUAGGAAAAGAAGAAGGAUCAGGGAAAAAAUGGCUAUUGGGGAAAAAGCUAAAGGAAAGAUUUUACUUGCACUUUUCAAUAGCGAAAAAUGAGGUGAAAUCUUAAAUGUUGAUGCUAUAAGGUUUGACCACCCUCUUGAAAAAGAAUAGACUGCACAGGUAGAUUCAUAUUGAAUCAUAAUUCAAGAUAGACUGCACCAGUAGAUUCAUAUUGAAUCAUAAGAUUUGGUUACGAUUCAAAUACAUUUAAAAUUAACUCUAUAGAUUCAAAUUGCUAAGAUGGAAAAAUGAAAAAAUUUCAAGGAACUAUUGGCUCUAUUGAUCUAAGGUUAAAUUGAAUAAGUUCCAAAAAAUGAGUUAAUGGCUACAAAUAACGUCUUAUGCAACAAUCUAAAAAUUUGUGUCAGGCAUGUUCUUUGUCUCCUAUUUGGUAUAAAAAUUUGCCUUUGGCUCUAAUAACAUUUUUGGCCACUUUGAUUUAUGUUAAUCUUGGCAAGUACGUAGGGAUGACAGAGCUACACAAGGAACAUAUUUAUCUGUAACUUCUUAGACUUGGACUUCAGGUUGAAGUUAGGUGACUCCAGGGCUGGAAUCACUAACUGUAUGUUAUAGUUUAAUGAUGUUCAGGAUAAAGUUUCUAGAUUACAAUGUAACUAGAUUUUAAUUCUUUGGAUGGAACAGGCUGCAAAAGCAGCCGAUGAUGCUGCUUCGUUUCAUCUGCACAAUCAAAUAUUAUCUGUAGCUGUAGAUGUAGAUAUACUCACACAAUUCCUAAUGGCUUAAUUGAAACUAAUUUCAAAACCAAGACGAUGGCUUGAUUAUCAGCAUAAAAAGCCAUCAGUUGGAGACAAAUAGCAGACUCAAUUACUGUUUCCUUAUCAGCAUUAGUGUAUCGUCCAUGCCACUCAUCGAUGGAGCAAAUUCAGAAGUCAGACAAUAUAGUUGGUUGUUAACUUUCCUCUAUAGUCUAUACUUCUUAGUGUGAUCGUUAAGCUAGUAAGGAUAAUAAGCCAAGUACUACUGCUGCUGAAGUCUUCAUAAUCAUUGGUCAAUUUCCCAGUAUCCUUAUCGUUACAGUCAUGACCAAGGAAGGAGCAAGUAAUAGUGCUUGUAUGACUUUCUCCUGCUGGUGUGCUGGUUUAACAAGCACAGAACUGUUAUGUAUUUCAAAGUUGCUUCCUUGAUGUGGAAAGUCCUGAAAUUCUACUAGUAGCAUUAAGAGCUUCACUACUACUACUCCACUAGUGUUGCUACUAUUGCUGCUACCACCACUAAUACUAGUAAGAUGAAAAUUCACAAGCCCUUAUCAACUAUGACCAAUGUUUUUAUAUCUAGUGAGAUAAAUGAUUCCAGUUAACUUACACUUUCUGAAAAUUUUGGGCUGGGAAUCCCUGCCGCCAAGGAUCUGAACAGUGGGGUAACUUGAAGGGGUGAACUGAACUCUGUACUUGAUGAGGCAGAAACAACUAUAUCAUUGUUGGCUUGCUCAUCAAAAGAUGAAAAUAUCUCCCCUGCAAUGUAUUUAGAAUUGUCAGCAAAUUCAAUUUUAUGGGAAUUACCCUCCAAAUGGUAAGAAAGCUGCACAUCUUAAGCAUUUUUGGAGAUAAGAAAAUUUAAUAACCUUGACUCAUGUUUGCACAGGAAAUAGAUUCUUUCUCACAUUCAUCUAUAUCACUUUGCUCUUUCACAUGAACUGAUUGUAAUUCAUUUGGAAUGUCCUCAUGCAGUGCACCAAUCUCAACUGGAGUUUUUUCUGUUUUAUCAGUGGCUGUAUAAGGCAUUAGAGUUGAUCCUGUACUGUAUUCAGAGCUGGCUGGAGACUCCUCGUAUAGAUCAGGCUGCCUACAAUGUUUUAACCAGAAAUUAGACAUCCUAUGAUAUGCAGAACUUGCUUAAACAGAAUAUCAAACCACGCAAUACCUCCAAGAUGGUCGACUUCCAUCAUUACUACUCCUUAAAUCCUCUAUCAAGUCUUUAAAGUCUUCAAGUCGAAAAUCCAUGUCAGUGAAUCUAUAUCUGAGGAUAUCAUUUUCUUUCUGAUUCAGGAAGUCUUGAAGGACCUGAAUAUACAUUUAUUGAAAAAUAUGAGGACAACCUAUGAUGCUAAAUUUGCAUGCAUCGCAUCAGUUCCACCCAAAUAAGAAGUUUAGGUUCCUCUUCUUAAGUUUGUGGGAAAAAUAUAAUCAGUUCAACCUUCUCAUGAUGCCUGAGCAUACUUGUCCUGACAAGAAGGCACAACUAAUUUAUAAAAUGAUUACAACUAUGGUCUUAGAGAUGAAUGUACAUUUAGGGCAUUCAAUCCACUUGAAUCUCCAUUUGCAGUUGCGCUAUCCAUUGUCCUAUUCUCAUGUUUGGUCCCCUUAACUGUCAAGGACAUUACCCCUUCCAAAUAACACACACACCCCUCCCCCUCACCCCGGCUCCCCACACCUGUCAAAACCUUAGUUCCCAAGGUAGAAAUUAUAGCUCUGCUAUGGAAACACUGUUCCUAUACAAGUGAAUGAGAUGAGCUCACCUUCCAUGCAUUUUCUAGACUCUGCUCUGUAUUCUCUGCAUUAACUUUCAAUGCAAGUGAACUGAGAAGUUCUGCCUGUUGCAUCAGGACAGCUAUCUUUGGAUCAUCCUUUCUGAGAAAUGUUCCUUGAGUCUUACUGUCUUGAGAUGCUGAACAAAUGGGAAGAAAGAUAGAUAUUAUGUUUCAAGGAGUUAAGAUUUAGAUCAAAGCAAGCCAUAUUGAUCAAGAUGAAAAUUUGCAGAAAUUGUGUUUGUCUUGUGUGGGACUCCUUGUGUUUCCCAGUUUUAUAGGCAAUUUAAUCACAUCAUAAUUCAAAAGUUCUUUGUUUUAGGUGAUUUACCAUCACCAGAGACCUCCUUGGCUUGAUGCUGACCAGCCACAUUAACAUUAUGUAAAUUUUGUGCCAACACAGCAAAUGGAGGCCUAGACUGCUGAUUACCACAUUGCGGAUGUGAUCUGUCUGCCAAUUUGCAAUAUUCUGAAUGAGCAGAGAUGUGUGACCUCCUGAAUGACACACAUAUGAGUUUUAGUAGAUGAAGUAUUUUUGGUAUUGACUAUUGUAUGCAUACAUCUAAACCCAUUUUACCUCGUUUUCUUAGCAGGUGUUGCAUUUUCUGUUGUUCCAUCUGCAUUGAACCCAUUAUGGAAAAGGAUUCUUUUGUUGUUGGAGUUGAUAAAUGUGUUUUUAUUC
rnacentral:lncRNA from 1 species